rnacentral:rRNA from 1 species
GACGAACGCUGGCGGCGUGCCUAAUACAUGCAAGUCGAACGCUGAAGGAGGAGCUUGCUUCUCCGGAUGAGUUGCGAACGGGUGAGUAGCGCGUAGGUAACCUGCCUGGUAGCGGGGGAUAACUAUUGGAAACGAUAGCUAAUACCGCAUAACAGUAGAUGUUGCAUGACAUUUGCUUAAAAGGUGCAAUUGCAUCACUACCAGAUGGACCUGCGUUGUAUUAGCUAGUUGGUGAGGUAACGGCUCACCAAGGCGACGAUACAUAGCCGACCUGAGAGGGUGACCGGCCACACUGGGAAGGGAACACGGCCCAACCCCCUAGGGGGGGGAGCGGGAGGGAAUUUUGGGAAAGGGCGGGAAGUCGAACCGGGCACGGCCGGGGGAGGAAAGAGGGUUUUCGGUUCGAAAAACUUGUGUGAAGGAGAAAAACGAGUGGGAGAGGGAAAAGUCCACGCUGGGACGGUACCUAACAAAAAAGGGACGGCAAACUACGUG